GACAAACGCUGGCGGCGUGCCUAAUACAUGCAAGUCGAACGGUCCUCCUUCGGGGGGAUAGUGGCGGACGGGUGAGUAACACGUAGAUGACCUGCCCUUUAGUGGGGAAUAACAUCUCGAAAGAGAUGCUAAUACCGCAUAAGUUGUGCUCUGUUGGGAGUACAAGAAACGCUCUUCUUGACCGAAGAGUGGCUGGAGGAGGGGUCUGCGGCGGAUUAGCUAGUUGGUGAGGAACGGCCCACCAAGGCGACGAUCCGUAGCUGGUCUGAGAGGACGGCCAGCCACACUGGGACUGAGACACGGCCCAGACUCCUACGGGAGGCAGCAGUAAGGAAUAUUCCGCAAUGGGCGAAAGCCUGACGGAGCGACGCCGCCGUGAAGGAGGAAG
rnacentral:rRNA from 1 species